ensembl:ncRNA H36N01.1 ncRNA
UGCUUUUUUUUCUCGUUGGUUGGCGGCCGGCGACAGAGGUUUCAGAGAUCAACUUCUGAGCGACCCCAUGCGAGAGUUGUUUACGAGAAAGUGCAAAACUGUUUUAUGAACUUUGAGACGGAAAA